GAUGAACGCUGGCGGCGUGCCUAAUACAUGCAAGUCGAGCGAAUGGAUUAAGAGCUUGCUCUUAUGAAGUUAGCGGCGGACGGGUGAGUAACACGUGGGUAACCUGCCCAUAAGACUGGGAUAACUCCGGGAAACCGGGGCUAAUACCGGAUAACAUUUUGAACCGCAUGGUUCGAAAUUGAAAGGCGGCUUCGGCUGUCACUUAUGGAUGGACCCGCGUCGCAUUAGCUAGUUGGUGAGGUAACGGCUCACCAAGGCAACGAUGCGUAGCCGACCUGAGAGGGUGAGCGGGCACACUGGGACGGAGAGACGGCCCAGACUCCUACGGGAGGCAGCAGUAGGGAAUCUUCCGCAAUGGACGAAAGUCUGACGGAGCAACGCCGCGUGAGUGAUGAAGGCUUGCGGGUCGUAAAACUCUGUUGUUAGGGAAGAACAAGUGCUAGUUGAAUAAGCUGGCACCUUGACGGUACCUAACCAGAAAGCCACGGCUAACUACGUGCCAGCCGCCGCGGUAA
rnacentral:rRNA from 1 species